rnacentral:rRNA from 1 species
AACGUAGGGACCGAGCGUUGUCCGGAAUCAUUGGGCGUAAAGAGCGUGUAGGCGGCCACUUAAGUCCUGCGUGAAAUCUUGCGGCUCAACCGCAAGCGGUCGUGGGAAACUGGGUGGCUAGAGUGCGGGAGAGGAGAGUGGAAUUCCUGGUGUAGCGGUGGAAUACGCAGAUAUCAGGAAGAACACCCGUGGCGAAGGCGGCUCUCUGGAACGCAACUGACGCUGAGACGCGAAAGCGUGGGGAGCAAACAGG